rnacentral:rRNA from 1 species
CCUACGAGGGGCUGCAGUAGGGAAUUUUCGUCAAUGGGCGCAAGCCUGAACGAGCAAUGCCGCGUGAACGAGGAAUGUCUUCGGAUCGUUAAGUUUUGUUUAUGGGGAAAUAGAGUGGAGAAAGGAAAUGCUUUUUGAUUGAUAUUAUCCUUCGAGGUAGUCACGCCUAACUCCGUCCCAGCAGCGGCGGUAAUACGUGGGUGCGUAGGGUUGUCUGGAUUGGUUGGGCGUAAGGGGUGCGUAGGGGGUCGGCUAAGUCUGAAGUAAAAGUUCCCGGCUGAACCGUUACAGGUUAUGGAAACUGGCAGGCUAGAGAACAGGAGAGGGCGGUGGAACUCGAGGUGUAGCGGUAAAAUGCGUAGAUAUAUGGAAGAACUCCAGUGGCGAAGGCAGCCGCCUAGCCUGUUACUGACGCUGAGGCACGAAAGCGUGGGGAGCAAAUAGGAUUAGAUACCCCAGUAGUC